rnacentral:rRNA from 1 species
AUGGACCGCAUCGUCGGCCGCAAGUUCAAGCUCGGCCGGAAGAUCGGCUCCGGCUCCUUCGGGGUCAUCUACCUCGCCACGGAUAUGGACACCUACGAGAUCGUCGCGGUGAAGAUUGAAAGUAGCACCUCGAAGCAUCCCCAGCUGUUUUAUGAGGCAAAGAUCUACAACGCCCUGCAAGGAGGAAGUGGCAUUGCGAAUGUUAAAUGGUGUGGUGUGGAUGGGGAGGAAAAUGUUCUUAUCAUUGAUCUGUUGGGCCCGAGCUUAGAAGAUUUGUUUGUCUACUGCGGCAGAAAAUUCACCUUGAAGACUGUCCUAAUGCUUGCAGACCAAAUGCUUACAAGGAUAGAAUUUAUGCAUUCCAAAGGAUACUUGCAUAGAGACAUAAAACCUGACAAUUUCCUAAUGGGUCUUGGCCGGAAGGCAAAUCAGGUCUAUGUAAUUGAUUUUGGGCUUGCAAAAAGAUACCGUGAUUCUACUACGAAUCGACAUAUUCCUUACAGGGAACAUAAGAACUUAACUGGCACUGCACGUUAUGCAAGUAGCAACACUCACCUUGGAAUUGAGCAAAGUCGACGGGAUGAUUUGGAAUCUCUUGGCUAUGUUCUCCUAUAUUUUCUCCGAGGAAGUCUUCCCUGGCAGGGACUAAAAGCUGCAACGAAAAAGCAGAAGUAUGAGAAGAUAUGUGAGAAAAAGAUUUCAACACCUAUCGAGGUGUUAUGCAAAUCCUGUCCAGUAGAAUUUGCAUCUUACUUCCACUACUGCAAGUCAUUGACAUUUGAUCAGCGGCCUGAUUAUGGAUUCGUGAAGCGCCUUUUUCGAGACUUAUUCGACCGCCAAGGUUAUGAUUUUGAUUAUGUCUUUGACUGGACUGUUUUGAAAUAUAAACAAGGCCAAAAGACCCAGCAUGUUCCUGGGGCAACUAUUACUCGAGCAAUCCCAACACAUCUUGACAAACGAGCGGGUGUAAAUGGGGAUGUCCAUCCAAAUGAAGCCCAUGAACAGAUGGAGUCAAGCCAUAUGACCGGGUCAGCUGCACAGUUACAGAGGCAAAAUAUGGCUGCCAGUGCCAGAAAUGAAAACCCGAAGAAUGAUGGGAAUUCAAGACAUAUAGUGCGUAUUGACGCUUUUCAUCAAAAUCAGGGUUUUGACAGCAAUACUGGCUCUCCUAGCGCUUGUUUUCCGACACUUCCGCACAAUGCCCCAGCAAGGUGA